rnacentral:rRNA from 1 species
AGUGAACGCUGGCGGUAGGCCUAACACAUGCAAGUCGAACGGCAGCACAGUAAGAGCUUGCUCUUACGGGUGGCGAGUGGCGGACGGGUGAGGAAUACAUCGGAAUCUACUUUUUCGUGGGGGAUAACGUAGGGAAACUUACGCUAAUACCGCAUACGACCUACGGGUGAAAGCAGGGGAUCUUCGGACCUUGCGCGAUUGAAUGAGCCGAUGUCGGAUUAGCUAGUUGGCGGGGUAAAGGCCCACCAAGGCGACGAGCCGUAGCUGGUCUGAGAGGAUGAUCAGCCACACUGGAACGGAGACACCGUCCAGACUCCUACGGGAGGCAGCAGUCGGGAAUAUUGGACAAUGGGCGCAAGCCUGAUCCAGCCAGACCGCGUGGGUGAAGAAGGCCUUCGGGUUGUAAAGCCCUUUUGUUGGGAAAGAAAAGCAGCAGGUUAAUACCCCGCUGUUCUGACGGUACCCAAAGAAUAAGCACCGGCUAACUUCGUG